CCAAAGAAGGAAAGAGGAUUCCAAUGCAGGCUUUCAGGACCUUUAUAUGAUAUCUGGCAUUUGAGUGCCACUCCUGACUUCCUGCAGUGAUUAGCCCCCACCAGCAGCUAUCACAAGGUAGUCUCCUGCAGGGCCUGCUGAAGACGGCAAGGAGCUUAUCAACAGAGGUGUAUUUUUCUUUGUCUUGCUUCCAGAGCAAGCGGUUCAGGAGACGGUAGACACAGAUCUCUAUGUGAGAAGAAGACAGCGCCCGACUGCUUCCAGGAGAUACCAUGAGGGUCACCGGCCUGAACCAAGCAGUCAGCCUGAGACAGAUAACACUUAGAGCGGUUGCUGCUCCAGUUUCCACUGUGUGUUGUGGCAGCUUGCAGCAUUAGUGGUAUCGCAGCCUUCCUGGAGGAGACCUGGAGUCAACCAAGCGGUUUGGUGGGGUGG
rnacentral:lncRNA from 1 species